UACGUAGGGACCAAGCGUUGUCCGGAAUCAUUGGGCGUAAAGCGCGCGUAGGUGGCCAUUUAAGUCCGCUGUGAAAGUCAAAGGCUCAACCUUUGAAAGCCGGUGGAUACUGGAUGGCUAGAGUACGGAAGAGGCGAGUGGAAUUCCUGGUGUAGCGGUGGAAUGCGCAGAUAUCAGGAGGAACACCAAUAGCGAAGGCAGCUCGCUGGGACGGUACUGACGCUGAAGAGCGAAAGCGUAGGGAGCGAACAGG
rnacentral:rRNA from 1 species